UACGUAGGGGGCAAGCGUUGUGCGGAUUUACUGGGCGUAAAGAGCUCGUAGGCGGUCUGUCGCGUCUGCUGUGAAAAUCCAGGGCUCAACCCUGGACCUGCAGUGGGUACGGGCAGACUAGAGUGCGGUAGGGGAGAUCGGAAUUCCUGGUGUAGCGGUGAAAUGCGCAGAUAUCAGGAGGAACACCGGUGGCGAAGGCGGAUCUCUGGGCCGUAACUGACGCUGAGGAGCGAAAGCAUGGGGAGCGAACAGG
rnacentral:rRNA from 1 species